CUAGCCGUAAACGGUGCAUAUUUGCUGUAAAAGGAAUCGACCCCUUUUGUGGCGUAGCCAACGCGUUAAAUAUGCCGCCUGGGAANCGCGAAGAACCUUACCUGGCCUUGACAUGUACGUAGUAGAAGGAUGAAAGUCUGACGAGGUAGCAAUACCAGCGUACACAGGUGC
rnacentral:rRNA from 1 species